UGCCCACUGAUAAUAAUUAAAGGGCUGCAGUAUUUUGACUGUACAAAGGUAGCAUAAUCAUUAGUCAUUUAAUUGAUGACUUGUAUGAAGGAUUGGAUGAAAUAUAGACUGUCUCAUAAUUAAUUUAUAGAAAUUAAUUUUUUAAUUAAAAAGUUAAAAUAAUUUAAAAAGACGAGAAGACCCUAUAGAGUUUAAUUUUUUAUUUAUUUAAUUAUAUUUAUAAAUUAAUUAUUUUUAAUUUAAUAAAAAAUUUUAUUGGGGUGAUAAAAAAAUUUAAUAAACUUUUUUUAUUAAUUUAAACAUAGAUAAGUGAUUAUUUGAUCCAAUAUUAUUGAUUAUAAGAAAAAAUUACCUUAGGGAUAACAGCGUAAUUUUUUUUUUUAGUUCAUAUAAAAAAAAGAGUUUGCGACCUCGAUGUUGGAUUAAGAUAAAAUUUAAAUGUAGAAGUUUAAAAUUUUGA
rnacentral:rRNA from 1 species